ACAUUUUUGUCGAGUCUGCAACUUCUGUCGCAGAAAGCUCAACAAAGUGAUAGUGAUCUGGCGACGACGCCCACUCCGGCGUUAACAAACUUCUUAAAACGUAAUAUUUCAGAAGGUAGAAGACUUGGAUCCUUCAUACUUUGUAUAUAUAACUACAUAAGGGAAGUGACAAUGUCAAAAAAAUUUGAAAGAAUAUUUGUUAAAAUGCAGAGAAGAAAAUUUACAACUUAGCCAAAGAAAAGUAAAUCAGAAUAAUUUAAUAACAUGUAGGUCCAAUGAAGAAGAGGAAGAAAAAAGAAAAAGAGGCCUAAAUGAAGGUGGAAAAAAAAGGAAAAUGGAAAACAGUAAACAUGAUAAAGGGACAAACACUAUAAUGACAGCACAGGCAGGAAACAAAAUAAGAGGAUUAGAUGAAAAGGAAAUAAAAAUAUUGGAGAAGGCGAAAAAAAUUGUAGAUGAUAAAGAGGACAAUAUGGAGACAGUUAUAAAAUAUCUAUACAAUAUUCAGAAACGGAGAAAAUAUCAAUUAAGAGAGGAGAAAAAAUUUAAAAUGUCUAUUUCCAAAAGAAUUGCUGACAUUAAGGUAUAGUUAUUUUUUAUUGUAAUAUACAUGGAUUUUCAGAUGACAUUAAGGAAUAGUUAUUUUAUAUUGUAAUAUACAUAGAUUUUUCUUACUAUAUGGUUUAAUAAGAUAUUUAUUUGCAAACAUAAGCUUAUUAUAUAUUAUAAAUAUAUUAGACAAAAAUGUUUUUUAAAUAUAUUCAUACAAAAAUGUUUGUAUUUAAAAACCAUGUCAGGUACCACUUGAUGAAAAGAGGGUGUGGCAUUAUGUAUGAACUACUGGGAUUUUACAUAUUAACAUAAAUAAAAAAAUUAAGCAUUUGAAAGAAACAUUGCUAUGAAAAUAUUAAUGAAUCUGAAUACCUACAUGUUUUAAGAAAAAUAGUGUACCUUAUUGCUAUUGUUAUCCAUUAUAUAAAAGAAAACUGAUAUUUUGAUGUUAAACUGUAGAGUUUUCAUUAUGUUACACAGUAGAUUUUUCAUAACUGACAAUUAAUAAAGAUAUGUGAUCUAU